UCCCUGGUGGUCCACUGGUUAAUACCUCAGCACUUUCACUGCUGAGGGCCCAGGUUCAAUCCCUGGUCCAGGAA
rnacentral:tRNA from 1 species